GGUUGAUCCUGCCAGUAGUCAUAUGCUUGUCCCAAAGAUUAAGCCAUGCAUGUCUAAGUAUAAACCUUUAUACGGUGAAACUGCGAAUGGCUCAUUAUAUCAGUUAUCAUUUAUUUGAUGGUCUCUUUACUACUUGGAUAACCGUGGUAAUUCUAGAGCUAAUACAUGCAAAAAGCCCGACUUCUGGAAGGGCUGUAUUUAUUAGGUAAAAACCAACGCAAUUGGUGAUUCAUAAUAACUGUGCGGAUCGCAUGGCCCUGCGCCGGCGACGCUUCAUUCAAAUUUCUGCCCU
rnacentral:rRNA from 1 species